rnacentral:rRNA from 1 species
GACGAACGCUGGCGGCGUGCUUAACACAUGCAAGUCGAACGAUGAAGCCCUUCGGGGUGGAUUAGUGGCGAACGGGUGAGUAACACGUGGGCAAUCUGCCCUUCACUCUGGGACAAGCCCUGGAAACGGGGUCUAAUACCGGAUGAUACUUCCACUCGCAUGGGUGGGGGUUGAAAGCUCCGGCGGUGAAGGAUGAGCCCGCGGCCUAUCAGCUUGUUGGUGAGGUAGUGGCUCACCAAGGCGACGACGGGUAGCCGGCCUGAGAGGGCGACCGGCCACACUGGGACUGAGACACGGCCCAGACUCCUACGGGAGGCAGCAGUGGGGAAUAUUGCACAAUGGGCGAAAGCCUGAUGCAGCGACGCCGCGUGAGGGAUGACGGCCUCGGUUGUAA